AUUUUAGAGAGUUUGAUCCUGGCUCAGGACGAACGCUGGCGGCGUGCCUAACACAUGCAAGUCGAACGGAACUUAUUAAAUGAAGCCUUCGGGUGGAUUUUGGUAAGUU
rnacentral:rRNA from 1 species